GUCUACGACCACACUGUUCUGAACAUGCCCGACCUCAUCUGAUCUGGGAAGCUAAGCAGAGUCGGGCUUGGUUAGUGCUUUGAUGGGAGAGAAGAGAGUGACAGGGACAUCAAGAUCUUGUAUAAA
rnacentral:rRNA from 1 species